rnacentral:rRNA from 1 species
GUAGUCCAUGCCGUAAACGUUGGGCGCUAGGUGUGGGGCUCUUUCCACGAGUUCCGUGCCGCAGCUAACGCAUUAAGCGCCCCGCCUGGGGAGUACGGCCGCAAGGCUAAAACUCAAAGGAAUUGACGGGGGCCCGCACAAGCGGCGGAGCAUGCGGAUUAAUUCGAUGCAACGCGAAGAACCUUACCAAGGCUUGACAUACGCAGAAAACUCGCAGAGAUGUGGGGUCCGCAAGGGCUGCGUACAGGUGGUGCAUGGUUGUCGUCAGCUCGUGUCGUGAGAUGUUGGGUUAAGUCCCGCAACGAGCGCAACCCUUAUUCGAUGUUGCCAGCACGUAAUGGUGGGGACUCAUCGGAGACUGCCGGGGUCAACUCGGA